GCCUCCGGGGACCGGUGGGGGGAUGGGGCCCGGAUGGAUAAAUAACUCCCUGGCGCCCUCCGCUCCACUACGCCUACAAGUGCCUUCCUUACCGCUCCUCUAUUCUGGCUCUGUACGGGCUAGGGGCAGAAGGCCUUAGGGAGCUGUACCCGGUGGCUUCCUGGGCGUGUUGGCCAGAUCUGCCUGUUUCACCCCCACCCCAAAUCUCCAGUGAUGUGUUUGCCCCAGAAAGACGAGGGAAGGGAGAGGAGAACUGUUGGAAGCUGCUGAAAGCGCUUUCUUUGAUCUUGAUACUUUUCACUGAGGAGUCUAAAAGUAUGGAGUCCAACUUCCUGACUUUACAGACUGAGAAACUGGGGCUUACUAAAUUGUGACCAGGCCUGAUCUCUUAUUCACCUGGUAGAACCCGGGCCUCCUGGGCCUCCUGCUCCUGGGCAGCCGCCUACAAUUUUACCCUGCAUCUGCCAGGGCCUGCUGUGGGUCCCGAGGUGAGGGUGAUGGACUAUAGCCCCUCCCCCCCCCCUCGCCCCGUUUCCUCAGCGGCUCUCCCUUCCGGAAUGUUAAGGCAGGAGCCCAUCUGGUCAUUGUUAACCUGCUUAUUAUUAUUUUGUUAUUGUCCGGGCUCAAUGGGCCUCCUAAAAGACUGGCUGGGGAUGGGAUAUGAGGGUGUGGGGAGAGGGCAACCUCUCCAACACUCCCUAGGGAUUGUUGGGACAUCUAGGUCUGGCUGACAGCUCCUGCACACAACCCCUCAGGUAGACUGUGAAGGCUCCAAGGACCCUUCUUCCUCCGACUCCCUCUGACCUUUCACUUUCACCUUCCCUGAGCCUUGGCCUCUCAGCUCGUAGCUGCCUCAGGGCCUUUGCAUGUACUAUGCCCUUUGCCCGUGCUCCCUUCCCCACUGCAAAUCCUAAUGUCCUCGGAGAGGCCACUCCCACUCACUGUGUUUCCAUUAUAUCCUUGGAAGCAUUCAGAAUGACAGGAUGGACCAUAAAUUUCCGGAGGGCAAGGACCUUUAUCUAUCCCGAACCUGUUGGUCACCAACAUCCAAUACAGCACCUGGCUCAGUGUUGAAGGAGAAUGCUGCCUGGCCUAGUUGCUGUGGCAGUCUCUGGCUUCAGUUUGUCUGACUCACCUGUGGGCAUGAACAUUCCCAGUCCCCAACCCUCGUCUCCUACCUCCCUACCUCAUCUGGCCCUGCCCCUGAUUGGGCUCUGGAGCAAGAAGGCCAUGAAGGAAACUGUCACCAGGAGCAGGAGGCCUGCCCUGGUGGGCAGUGGCCCAGGGGUGUGAGUGUGUCUAUAUCCACACAAAUGUCUGUUUGUGCCUGUGUUGUGUUCAUGUAUGGGUCAGUGUACUCAGGUGUGUUCACACACAAGGGCAGGUGUCUAUGUGCCAGUGUGGGUUCAUGCACGUAGAUCUGUGUGCCUGUAUGUAUACACAUAUAUAUAUACCUGUGUAUACGUGUGUGUCCAUUUGUGUGUUUCUAGGCACGUAGGUCUCUGUGCCCUCCAGACCUGUCCUCUCAGGUCCCAGCCUGAGCAAAGGGACCCUUGAUGAGAGGGGAUCCUGUCCCCAGCCUGUUGCUAGCCUUGUCCUGGGACCCUGCUCUGGGCCUGUGCAAUGGGGCUAGAUUGGAGGAGAUGGGGCCAUGCUUCUCUCCAAGGCAGGACAUGAGUGGGUGGCCUAGAUAGCCUCCACCCUGACCUUGGGCCUUGACCUUAAUAAGUGGGUGAAUGGUCUGGUGAAAUAUGGGCAGAACCUACCUGAGCUGAAAAACUGACCAGCAAACAGGCCUUGGGAAAUGGAGGCACAGGGAACCCAAGGCAAUUCACCUCUCUGAGUCUCAGUUUCCCCCUCAUGAAAAUGGAGUGAAAAAUCUCACCUCCCUCGUGGAGUAUGGUGAUUUUUGUUUCUUUUCUUUUCUUCUUCUUUUUUUUUUUUUUUUUUUCAUUCAGUAAACUCUACCCCCUUCAUGGGGCUAGAACUCACGACCCUGAGAUCAAGAGUCCACAUGCUCUACUGACUGAGCCAACCAGGUGCCUCAAAAAAUACUGUGGUUUUUAUUGGAUUUAAAGGAAUAGAGCUCAUAAGUGCUUUCUAUAAUUGUUUUAUGUUAUUAUUAUAAGGCUAGCCUUAGCUGUGUAUGGUUGUUUGGCCUGGAGCUCCUUCAGCCGGAAGUGCCCUUCUAUCCAACAGGCAAAUUUCUACUCCUGCUUCAAAACCCACUGUCUCCUCCUCCAAGAAGUCUUCCCUAUCCACACCCUCAAGGAGUCCCCCUAAGCCACCCCCCACCCGCCACCGUCUGGCUGAGCCCGUCCACCAUCUGUAUUGGGCUCUGUCUGCCCCAGAUGGGGCAGGGGAGAGUCCUGUAAGCUGGGUAGGCAGGACCUGUCUUGGCCUCUAAGUAUGGGGAGCUGCCCUGGGCAGACUCUGCCAGCCCCACUUUUCAAGGAGUUGAAAAACUGGCUCCUUCAGUCUCCUCUGCUGUGCACCUGCUGUUCCCUCUGACCCAACACCUUUUCCUACCCUCUCCUUUCUCCUAGCCAGAAAGCCCUCUGGGACACCCUAAUACUGCUCUUCCACUGGGACCAAUCCUAUCCCCACCUCAUCAGGCAGUUCAAUAGGAGGCCUGAAUCCAUCAACCAGCCGUAUGCAGUGAACUAGGGGUAACUCCUAUUCUCUCAUUCAUUCGACAGGUACUGACUGAGCACCUACUGUGAGCCAAGCGAUGGGGACACACACGAAUGACACAAACACCCUCAACCCCGCACCCGGUCUGAAAGAGGAACCUGUCAAACGCGGCUUCAAGGAGGCUGAAGGGUGCCCCCUCCAUGGACGGGGGUAUGUUUUAGAGUUGGGUGAUCUGGGAGGGGCACCCUGGGAGGUGAUGCUGAACGAAGGAGAAGCUGGAGCAAAUCUUGAGCUAAUUUGAAGGCCCAACAUCCCAGACUGUGGGAACAGCAAAAGCAAACGCCCUGGGGCAGAACCCAGCUGGCCACAUUGAUGGAGAGAGGCAGGUGGCGCUGGAUUGGGUGAGCCAGGGGAAGCCAGAGGGAGAGAAGGAAAGCGAGGGUGCAGGACUUCUACAGAACCCGGUGGUGUUUGUCCCAAGAGCAGUGGAAGUGGCCGUAGAAGACGGGAUUGAGGGAGAAGUCGGGAACAGGGCUCAGCCUGGACUCUGCAUUUUCACCCUUCCUCUCCCAGCCCCUCCAGGAGUCUCAGGACAUUAUCUCACUUCCCAGAUCAGCGUCCAGGGAGGGUGCGGGACCCACCCGGUCGAAAGAAUCCCCAGCCCCUACCCCCACCCACCCAUCCCCGUUUGGAGCGGAAGCUGAAACUAACCCGCACCCGUCUCCCAGCCACGGCUCUAAUCUCUGCUGGUCUGGCGCCUCUCUCUCGAGAGCGAAGAGCUUACCCUUCUUGUUUAAAGCGACCUGCAACUCGGUUUAAUGUUGAGUCUUUAUUUGAAGACCCAGAGAACUAAAAUCUACUCGAUGACACGGAAAGCCCCAAAGAAAGAGAAAGAAGGGGUGAAUCGGGAAGCAGAAAGGGGUGCUUGGCCAGCCGCAGGGAGGGGACCCACACCCUGUCCUCUGGGCCGGCACUGGCGCUCUCCAGUCUCACAAGACCAUUUUACAGACGAGGAAACCGACGCGUCCUCAGCGCCUUGUCGGCACUGGUGGAACGGGACUGAUAGAGCUUGCUUUACGACCCGUGGCCCAGUUGACUCCACCGAGGGUGCAGUGUCGACAGCCUCUCGUAGGCAGGCCGGGAAGAGCGGCUCAGUCUAAGUCCAGUGUUCAUUGAUUGUCCUGGGUGAGCCCAGAAGGGCGCCGGCUCAAGGAGAGAACCACGCCUCACAACACCUUCCCUACCAGAUUCCUGCGCUCAUCCAGGGAACUCUGAUGUAUACCCAGGCCCAGCCUCAAGCACCAUCAGCCUCAGUCACCCCUUCCGCCACCCACUCUUGAGCACCUACUGUGUGUCCGGGCUCUGUGUGCUGGGGGAGGGUUUUCCAUCAUCCCUCAUCACCUCCUAAGCUGAUCCGCGAAUAGAAGACAGGACAGAACCACCGUAAUGAAGAAGUAUGCUUUAGGCUGAUGUCACUCUUUCUCCUCCAGGUCGACCCCUUUUUCUGUUUUUACUUGGGUAAAUAUAUUUCAAAAGGGAAACUUCAUGUCACCACCAA